CCCUUAUAAAUCAAUCAUAUUUGCGCAAUUUCUAUCUAAAUGGCAACUACGGUCACAUACACAACAGGCACAAUUCUCAACCCCAGCCAAAGAACAACUGUCAUGGUUUAUGCUACCAUUUGCCGGCCGUGUUCGUUGCUCUUCCAGCUGCCUUUGAACGAUUAGCAGCUACCUUGUUCGUGUUAUGAAAAUGUCUAGCCAAAUCGCCGUGUUUGUUACUUGUUCGAGAGUUGUCGGUCUCUUUGGAAUCCUUUUUGGAUUUUAAUCGAAAAUGUGUAGCCUGUUUCCUGUGUUGCAGCUGCUCUUUUAAACUCACUUAUAAAUAUGUACAUUUAGUUAUGAGUUACAUGCACAUACACAUACAUACAUAUGUAUGUACUUAUAUACGUAUCGACAUGGAUUUGUGUGGUAUGUACAACCAA